GUGUAUGCCUAUAACAUAGUGCUAAUACAUCGAAUCCCAUUAGAACUUCGCAGUUAAGCGCGCUCAAGCUAGAGUAUUACUAGGAUGGGUGACCGCUCGGGAAGUCCUACUGUUUUACAUG
rfam:Picea glauca, whole genome shotgun sequence.